GUCACAGCUCACCCAAAUGUUCUCUGUCGCAGGUAAAGCUAUCGAGCGGAGCUGGACUUCUCUGACAUACGAGAUGCUGGCUGGCUCUCGCCACUAUUCUUCGUCUCCGCCUGUGUCAGAAUGUAAUUGCUUCAGGUGUGAUCCUUGAAGGAGAAAGAGGUUACACAUCACAGAAGAGGGUACACCUUCAUAAAAAAAGGAUGGUACACUUUUGGUCGGUGCUGGCGAUCCGGCACACGGCGGACGCCGAAUACUUGGACGGCGACGACGUCUUCUGCCCGCUGCGACGGCUUCGGCGAGGAACAAGACCUGCUAGUGGGUGACUAGAAGCGAUCACGUACCGACUCGCCGGCCGCCGCUACCCCGGUCGUCGGCGCCGGCGCCGCUGCCGGAGCCUCCUCCUCGUGCUCCAGGUCGGACGCGGCGGGCGACAGCGACCCGGAGCUGCUGAACAUGGAGUUGUCGUCGAGCGUGGGCGUCGCCUGGCUCAGGCCCUCCAGCUCCUGCAACACACGGCCGGCGCGCGUCAGGCGGCUGCUGGCGCGGCAAGGGGCGGAGCUGCGCCUUGCGGGAUUCCACAGAAUUUUCCCGUGUGAAAAGCACACGGCGUUGACCAUUUUCUGUUGCGCUACAUUCAUAUUAGUAUGUUCCCGAAUCAUAUCGGUAGUGUUAUGCACUUUUCAGACGGGUAAUCACGGGAAAAUGGCUACAUAAUCUGGAAGUAGCUGUGUGACUAAGUAGACUAAAUGUACACUACUGGCCAUUAAAACUGCUACACCACGGUGAUGACGUGCUACGGACGCGACAGGAAGAAGAUGCUGUGAUAUGCAAAGGAUUAGCUUUUCAGAUCAUUCACACAAG